rnacentral:rRNA from 1 species
GACGAACGCUGGCGGCGUGCUUAACACAUGCAAGUCGAACGAAGAGCGAUGGAAGCUUGCUUCUAUCAAUCUUAGUGGCGAACGGGUGAGUAACGCGUAAUCAACCUGCCCUUCAGAGGGGGACAACAGUUGGAAACGACUGCUAAUACCGCAUACGAUCUAAUCUCGGCAUCGAGGAAAGAUGAAAGGUGGCCUCUAUUUAUAAGCUAUCACUGAAGGAGGGGAUUGCGUCUGAUUAGCUAGUUGGAGGGGUAACGGCCCAACAAGGCGAUGAUCAGUAGCCGGUCUGAGAGGAUGAACGGCCACAUUGGGACUGAGACACGGCCCAGACUCCUACGGGAGGCAGCAGUGGGGAAUCUUCCGCAAUGGACGAAAGUCUGACGGAGCAACGCCGCGUGAGUGAUGACGGCCUUCGGGUUGUAAAGCUCUGUUAAUCGGGACGAAAGGCCUUCUUGCGAACAGUUAGAAGGAUUGACGGUACCGGAAUAGAAAGCCACGGCUAACUACGUG